rnacentral:rRNA from 1 species
GGGUUGUGAGGUUAAGCGACUAAGCGUACACGGUGGAUGCCCUGGCAGUCAGAGGCGAUGAAGGGCGUGCUAAUCUGCGAUAAGCGCCGGUAAGGUGAUAUGAACCGUUAUAACCGGCGAUACCCGAAUGGGGAAACCCAGUGUGACUCGUCACACUAUCAUUAACUGAAUCCAUAGGUUAAUGAGGCGAACCGGGGGAACUGAAACAUCUAAGUACCCCGAGGAAAAGAAAUCAACCGAGAUUCCCCCAGUAGCGGCGAGCGAACGGGGAGGAGCCCAGAGCCUGAAUCAGCAUGUGUGUUAGUGGAAGCGUCUGGAAAGGCGCGCGAUACAGGGUGACAGCCCCGUACACAAAAGCGCAUGUGCUGUGAGCUCGAUGAGUAGGGCGGGACACGUGGUAUCCUGUCUGAAUAUGGGGGGACCAUCCUCCAAGGCUAAAUACUCCUGACUGACCGAUAGUGAACCAGUACCGUGAGGGAAAGGCGAAAAGAACCCCGGCGAGGGGAGUGAAAAAGAACCUGAAACCGUGUACGUACAAGCAGUGGGAGCCCCACCACUAAGCCAGUGGUGAACUCCACAUACGCAUCCUUUGCUGAGGAUACGGUUAACGGAGCGAAAGCGACGUUCAACCGCAAAAGAAGCAGAGGGGGCUUAGUGGUGGGGUGACUGCGUACCUUUUGUAUAAUGGGUCAGCGACUUAUAUUCUGUAGCAAGGUUAACCGAAUAGGGGAGCCGGAGGGAAACCGAGUCUUAAUUGGGCGUUAAGUUGCAGGGUAUAGACCCGAAACCCGGUGAUCUAGCCAUGGGCAGGUUGAAGGUUGGGUAACACUAACUGGAGGACCGAACCGACUAAUGUUGAAAAAUUAGCGGAUGACCUGUGGCUGGGGGUGAAAGGCCAAUCAAACCGGGAGAUAGCUGGUUCUCCCCGAAAGCUAUUUAGGUAGCGCUUCGUGAAUUCAUCUCCGGGGGUAGAGCACUGUUUCGGCUAGGGGGCCAUCCCGGCUUACCAACCCGAUGCAAACUGCGAAUACCGGAGAAUGUUAUCACGGGAGACACACGGCGGGUGCUAACGUCCGUCGUGAAGAGGGAAACAACCCAGACCGCCAGCUAAGGUCCCAAAGUCAUGGUUAAGUGGGAAACGAUGUGGGAAGGCCCAGACAGCCAGGAUGUUGGCUUAGAAGCAGCCAUCAUUUAAAGAAAGCGUAAUAGCUCACUGGUCGAGUCGGCCUGCGCGGAAGAUGUAACGGGGCUAAACCAUGCACCGAAGCUGCGGCAGCGACACUGUGUGUUGUUGGGUAGGGGAGCGUUCUGUAAGCCUGUGAAGGUGUGUCGUGAGGCAUGCUGGAGGUAUCAGAAGUGCGAAUGCUGACAUAAGUAACGAUAAAGCGGGUGAAAAGCCCGCUCGCCGGAAGACCAAGGGUUCCUGUCCAACGUUAAUCGGGGCAGGGUGAGUCGACCCCUAAGGCGAGGCCGAAAGGCGUAGUCGAUGGGAAACGGGUUAAUAUUCCCGUACUUGGUGUUACUGCGAAGGGGGGACGGAGAAGGCUAUGUUGGCCGGGCGACGGUUGUCCCGGUUUAAGCGUGUAGGUGUGUGUUCCAGGUAAAUCCGGUUCACUUUAACACUGAGGCGUGACGACGAGGCACUACGGUGCUGAAGCAACAAAUGCCCUGCUUCCAGGAAAAGCCUCUAAGCAUCAGGUAACAUCAAAUCGUACCCCAAACCGACACAGGUGGUCAGGUAGAGAAUACCAAGGCGCUUGAGAGAACUCGGGUGAAGGAACUAGGCAAAAUGGUGCCGUAACUUCGGGAGAAGGCACGCUGACACGUAGGUGAAGUGAUUUACUCAUGGAGCUGAAGUCAGUCGAAGAUACCAGCUGGCUGCAACUGUUUAUUAAAAACACAGCACUGUGCAAACACGAAAGUGGACGUAUACGGUGUGACGCCUGCCCGGUGCCGGAAGGUUAAUUGAUGGGGUCAGCGCAAGCGAAGCUCCUGAUCGAAGCCCCGGUAAACGGCGGCCGUAACUAUAACGGUCCUAAGGUAGCGAAAUUCCUUGUCGGGUAAGUUCCGACCUGCACGAAUGGCGUAAUGAUGGCCAGGCUGUCUCCACCCGAGACUCAGUGAAAUUGAACUCGCUGUGAAGAUGCAGUGUACCCGCGGCAAGACGGAAAGACCCCGUGAACCUUUACUAUAGCUUGACACUGAACAUUGAGCCUUGAUGUGUAGGAUAGGUGGGAGGCUUUGAAGUGUGGACGCCAGUCUGCAUGGAGCCGACCUUGAAAUACCACCCUUUAAUGUUUGAUGUUCUAACGUGGACCCGUUACCCGGGUUGCGGACAGUGUCUGGUGGGUAGUUUGACUGGGGCGGUCUCCUCCUAAAGAGUAACGGAGGAGCACGAAGGUUGGCUAAUCCUGGUCGGACAUCAGGAGGUUAGUGCAAUGGCAUAAGCCAGCUUGACUGCGAGCGUGACGGCGCGAGCAGGUGCGAAAGCAGGUCAUAGUGAUCCGGUGGUUCUGAAUGGAAGGGCCAUCGCUCAACGGAUAAAAGGUACUCCGGGGAUAACAGGCUGAUACCGCCCAAGAGUUCAUAUCGACGGCGGUGUUUGGCACCUCGAUGUCGGCUCAUCACAUCCUGGGGCUGAAGUAGGUCCCAAGGGUAUGGCUGUUCGCCAUUUAAAGUGGUACGCGAGCUGGGUUUAGAACGUCGUGAGACAGUUCGGUCCCUAUCUGCCGUGGGCGCUGGAGAACUGAGGGGGGCUGCUCCUAGUACGAGAGGACCGGAGUGGACGCAUCACUGGUGUUCGGGUUGUCAUGCCAAUGGCACUGCCCGGUAGCUAAAUGCGGAAGAGAUAAGUGCUGAAAGCAUCUAAGCACGAAACUUGCCCCGAGAUGAGUUCUCCCUGAGACUUAGAGUCUCCUGAAGGAACGUUGAAGACGACGACGUUGAUAGGCCGGGUGUGUAAGCGCAGCGAUGCGUUGAGCUAACCGGUACUAAUGAACCGUGAGGCUUAACCUUACAACGCCGAAG